GAUGAACGCUGGCGGCGUGCCUAAUACAUGCAAGUAGAACGCUGAAGGAAGGAGCUUGCUCUUUCCGGAUGAGUUGCGAACGGGUGAGUAACGCGUAGGUAACCUGCCUGGUAGCGGGGGAUAACUAUUGGAAACGAUAGCUAAUACCGCAUAACAGUAGAUGUUGCAUGAUAUCUACUUAAAAGGUGCAAUUGCACCACUACCAGAUGGACCUGCGUUGUAUUAGCUAGUUGGUGAGGUAACGGCUCACCAAGGCGACGAUACAUAGCCGACCUGAGAGGGUGAUCGGCCACACUGGGACUGAGACACGGCCCAGACUCCUACGGGAGGCAGCAGUAGGGAAUCUUCGGCAAUGGACGGAAGUCUGACCGAGCAACGCCGCGUGAGUGAAGAAGGUUGUCGGAUCGUAAAGCUCUGUUGUAAGAGAAGAACGAGUGUGAGAGUGGAAAGUUCACACUGUGACGGUAUCUUACCAGAAAGGGACGGCUAACUACGUG
rnacentral:rRNA from 1 species